AUGAAUCAUUCUUCCAAGUUUGCACCCAAAGCGCAUGAAGGUUUUCUUCUUCGUUAUGACUCAAACUCGCAUACUUAUCGUGUCUAUUACUGUCACCAUGGGAAAGUUAUGGAAACGGUAAAUGUGCGGUUUGAUGAAUCUAACGGCUCCCAAAAGGAGCACCUGCCAAAUGUGAUAGAUGAACCACCGAUCUCGGAUGUUAUUUGGCCAAUGGCUAUUGGAAGCGUCAAGCCAGUCGAAGAACAUGCACCUCAUUCUUCCGACGAUGAUACUCCUAUGGCUCGAAACAGAACUCUCCAAGCCACUGCCGAACAAAAUACCACUCCAAAUGCAAAUGGCAAUCAAAUUACAAAUGUCGAACAAAAUGGAGGCCUGAAGGAAAUGGCAAUACUAAUGCCGAUGCUG
rnacentral:rRNA from 1 species